AUCUAGUUUUCCUAACUUCCCAUGAGCCUUUGUGCCCGUGUCUGUAUGUAUGCAGAGUGGAUCUAGGUUCCCUAACUUCCCAUGAGCCUUUGUGCCUGUGUCUGUAUGUAUGCAGAGUGGAUCUAGGUUCCCUAACUUCCCAUGAGCCUUUGUGCCCGUGUCUGUAGGUAUGCAGAGUGGAUCUAGGUUCCCUAACUUCCCAUGAGCCUUUGUGCCCGUGUCUG